rnacentral:SRP_RNA from 10 species
CCUGGCUUAUUGCUGUAACUCUUGAGGCACGAGUGUGAACAUGAGGGUUUGUAUUGGGUCGGCGGUGCUCGGCGGCGCCUGUCUGCUAAAAUUCUGAGUCGGUUGCGCGCUUUUGUGUAAGCUUUAGAUCGCGACUGCUACGGCUAGGCGGACCGCUCCAGGCUGGCAACAGAGCAGGGAAUAGCUGACGCUCAGACUGACUAGCAAGACUGCAGAUGUAGCUUGAACCCGCUUCGACUUGAACUACAUUGUACCCACCAGGACAUGCUCG